AUGAGGCAGCCCUUCACCCCUUCCUCCAUGUGGUUUUCCCUCCUUGCUUGUAUUUGCUUCUGUGUAUAUUGGCAAUCUCUUGGAAUAGUGACUCUCCUGACUGAUUCCUACGUCUGAAGACAGUGACGUCACCAAUUGCUUUGACCUUGGGUGUAACCCAGACCAAAGAACAUCAGACAAUAUUUUGCAUUGUGUUUCAGGGUUUUGCUGGCUUCAGGGUUUGCUGGUAGAAUAUGGAGUCUUCCACCUGUAAGGCCUUUGGUCUGUAUCCACAGUAAACUGAAAAGUGCAAAAUCUUUUUUUUUUUUUUUUAUUUUUCUCAGUG